AUUGAACGCUGGCGGCAUGCUUUACACAUGCAAGUCGAGCGGCAGCGCGGGGGCAACCCUGGCGGCGAGCGGCGAACGGGUGAGUAAUGCAUCGGAACGUACCCUGGAGUGGGGGAUAACGCCGCGAAAGCGGCGCUAAUACCGCAUAUGCUCUGAGGAGGAAAGUGGGGGACCGCAAGGCCUCACGCUCUGGGAGCGGCCGAUGUCCGAUUAGCUAGUUGGUGGGGUAAAGGCUUACCAAGGCGACGAUCGGUAGCUGGUCUGAGAGGAUGAUCAGCCACACUGGGACUGAGACACGGCCCAGACUCCUACGGGAGGCAGCAGUGGGGAAUUUUGGACAAUGGGGGCAACCCUGAUCCAGCCAUGCCGCGUGAGUGAAGAAGGCCUUCGGGUUGUAAAGCUCUUUUGGUCGGGAAGAAAGUGCCCUGCUUAAUACGCGGGGUAUUUGACGGUACCGGCAGAAUAAGCACCGGCUAACUACGUGCCAGCAGCCGCCGUAA
rnacentral:rRNA from 1 species